GAGAUAUUUUUGGGUAGAGAAAAAGCUUCUAACUUUUCUCUCAAGUGGUUCGAUUCCACUUAUAUCUUA
rnacentral:tRNA from 1 species